UUGUUUUUCUUCUACAUUAUUUAAAUUCUACUGAGGAAGAGCCAUUUCUUUCCCUAUUUGCUUAUUUUAUUAUUUAUCACAAUUUGGAACCAUAGAUUUUUAUUUUAUUCUGUGUGUUCAGUGCUACCAUUAUUUACUUUGUGACUCAAUUUGCUCUAACUUUAGCUAGUCAAGUGGGCCCUUUGUGCUUAAACAGCCUUAAUUUGUGUGUGUGUGUGUGUGUGUGUGUGUGUGUGUGUGUGUGUGUGUUUCUUUUAUUUUCUGGAACUGCAAGAUGUUCUUUACUUUCUACUUCUGUGAUCUCUAAAGGUUUCCAGAAUAGGACCGAUCCCAUGAGGGCACUCUUAGCUUUGAAGUGGUUGGCAUGCAGGACAAGUCCCUCAUAGCUGGAGAGCUUCCAGAAUUUAAAGUACAGGGAGCCACCGCUAAGAAGGAUUGGAGGGUAAGGGAACUUCCAGGGAAGAGGGAAAUUUGAUAGAUGGCUAUAUGUCUAGAUCACAUCAUUUAGCAGCAUGGGAGGAGUCUGACUCAGACAACUCCAAAGGGCAGCUGCAGUUUUGGGUCUUUAGGGCCCAGAGCUUAUCUUACCUAUUGCUAGCAGAUGUUUGGUGCAGUUUUACUGAGUGCAUAAUACAGUCAGGCUCUAAGUGGCUAAAAAAUGCUGAUCUGGACUGAUUUAACAAUUGGAUGUGUAAAGAUUUGAGUUUGGAGCUAUCAGACUUUUGAGCUAAUGGUCUCUGCCUCUAGUGAAGGAAUAAUCUAGGGCCCAAUAUACAGAGGCCAUUGUUGACUCAAUUAUAUAACAUUUAUAAAGUAGCACUAUGAUUUUUCAUGCUACAUCAACUCUCAAUUUCAUGAAUGUAAUGAAUAAUUAUUAAAGGUGAGCUGCACAGCUGAGCAGCCUGUCAAUCUUGAUUUACACAGUAAGAAUGAUAUGUUAUUAGCAUAGGGAUAUUUCAGUAGUAAGAUCUUAAAACCUGCCUUGCAAUUCUAUUUCUCCCAUUAUGUGGGCAUCCAAUGAGAAGCUGAAGAUGACAUGCAAAUCCUGAUAAUAUACUCACUCCAUAUCCAAGGGGAUUUGGGGAGAAUCUGAGGUGGCACCUGUGGUGGAGUGGACAAUGUUGGACUUGGUGUUCAAAGUCAUCAUCAGAUCCUGAUACUGUUAUAUGCUUGUCCCAUGACCCAUAGGCAGAGAAUUUAAUUUUGUAAAGCCAAUUUUCUCUGCAAAAUGGUAAUAGAACUGUCUAAUUCACCUGGUUGUUGUUGGUGCUGGAACAACACCAGCAACGUUACAUCCUGAGUCCCAGAAUAUAAAUGCUACCCAGAAUGAACUUUUACAGAUUGUUUGUAGUCCAUGUGAUGACGUAAUAUAUCUCUCCCUACCUGAUGUGAUUGGAAUGGUGUGGAGACAACCACUCCACAAUGUUGACUCAAAGGUCCACAUAAUGCUCCAUAUAAUGCUCCAUGAAGAUAAGGACCACAUGUAUUUUCUCUACUUCUGAAUAUCCAAGAUUUUACAGGGUACCUGACAUAUAGUAGGUACUAUAUAAAGACACUAUUUGGACCACUUCUUUAAGAAAACCUCAAUUGAAUGCGUUUACGGAAGAUAAGCUCUAGACAUCUGUGUACAGCAUAGUACCUAGAGUCAACAAUGCAUGUUGUGCACUUGAAAAUUUGUUAAGAGGGUAGAUCUCAUGUUAAGUGUCCUUAUCAAAUAAUCCCUGAUAAAUGCAAAUAUCUCUUAAAUCAUUAAUGCCUUGGUUUAUAGUAAUCAAUCAAAUGAACUUCAGUCACUUAGCAGUAUCCUUAGGGAAUGGGGCAUAAUUUUGAGGAAAGGAGGUUUAGAGCAUGAGAUGUUGUUGAGUAAGGAAAGCAUGGCUAAGGUGCUGGGGCAGGUGGUCGCUAAACAGCCAGUAGGGAGUCAGAAGAAGUUAAACAUGUUGAAAGGGAAACACUCAAACCUAAGAGAGAGCUUAUGAAUAUGGUCAUUUAAAACAAACAUGGACAACUUCCUAAGGAUGAGCUAUGUGCCUAUACAACUCUCAUGUGAAUGAAUCUCUAUCUUGCUGGGCAUAAGAUAUGAUGGAAUUACUUGUAUCUUGGACACGGUUCAUGUUACAUAGAGGUGCCACAGAAAGGGGUAGACACACAUUUUUGCGGACCCCACAACCCAGUUAUCUGUGAAGGCUACACAGUCUUCGGACAGCUGCUGUGCACAGACAACAGCACAGGAAAAGGGAGACAGGGGAGAGGGGGUGGAGGAAGGUAAGUGACAGACACAUGGAUGCAGGGAAGAAGAUGAGAAGCAGUGAAAAGACGAUCAAGAGAAAAAUGAGACACCAGCAGUGCUGAGAGUUGACGUCAUUUGUUUCCAGAGCUCCCAAUCAACUCAAAAACGUAGCAUAGGCCAAAGUCCUCAUGUAACUUUUUUUCCCUAUCUUUCCCACUCACAAAUCUCAACAUUUCCCUUUGAAAGGUACUCAUCUACUUCUCAAAUAUUAUACCUACAGAUAGAAGUCUUUAGAAUCUGAAUAUUAUUUUGUGUCUCAGCCACCAAAAAAAAAAAAAAAAAAUUAUGGAGAGCAAUUGGGCAAAUUGAGGGUAUGAAUGCCAGAAGAAACAAUGUAUUUUGACAAGAAAAAUCGGUUGGCAAAUGUUAAGGUUUUUAUGAGUAAUCAUGAUGAUCCUUUAAGUAAUUAUAAUUUGUUCCAUACUCUGUCACAGUCGUUUUGAUUGUGGCUUUUUAUUAGUGAAUAAAGUUAUUUAGUCGUCCUUAUUUUUAGGAAGAGAUUCACAGUAUUGAAAUAUUUCAAAUACCAAUAAUGUUAAAUUUCUUGAGUAUUUUCCCUUUCUGCUGAUGAGUCAUUGGACUAUCAUUCUGUCCCGAGAACAUUAUAAUGACACCAGUCUUAGUCACAAAAUCAUUACUGUCAUAAAGUAAGGAGGCAGGAUAUGGGAAGAAAUCUACACAAUGAGACAAACCUGGCUUAAUCUUAACAGUUGCAAUUAUUACCCACAUUUUUAAAGCAAGUUUAUUUUGAAGUAAAUUUUCAAACUUCCCAAUGCUUUGUUGCCCUGUCAUUAGGCUGUCUCCAGAUGAAGAAAGUCUUUGGGCUGCAGGGAUAAGUAGUUUGGAUGCUGUGGCUUCAUAAGUAAAUUUUCUUUUUAUAAGCAUGGCGAAUAAGGAUCAGGAGUAUUAUUCUACAGGGAGGCUGAGUGCAGCCAUUGAUAUAAGGCCAGAUGUGGUCUGUUCUACCACAGAAACUUAAGGAUAGAGCACCUUUUCAGGCUGUGUGGUUCAAUCCCUAGUUAAAGUAUAAAACUCAUAGUAAUAAUGCUCUUACAACCUUUCACAUGGUGGAGACAGACACUGAAUAUUGGUUGAUUAGUAAGGCAUUUGUAUUGGUAAAGCAUUGCAGACUGUUGAAAAGUCUAAAUAAAAAAUCUGUUCUCAGAUGUGAUAAAUAAAUCAAAUAGUUCAUGUGUAUGAAGUUAUGUAAGAAAUACGAUAAAUCAUUAAAUAGUUCUUGUGUAAGAAUUAAAGCAGGUUGCUUUCCUAGUAAGGUUACAACACAUCAAAAUAUAAUAUUGUGACUUUCACUUUUCAGUGUGACAAAGUACAAGUAGAUCAGCACAUAGAACUGUUUUUUUUGUUUUGUUUUGUUUUGUUUUCCACUAUUUCACACAACUGGGGUGUCCAAAGAUUUGAUAAUGGGUAAGAAAGAUGACCUGAAUGGUGAAUUCUGUAAACUUGUCUCCUUUAUUAAUAAACACAUUCAAACU